GCCGGAAGCGCGCCUGGGGAGGGGUGGCGGGGGAGGCGCGGUGCCCUGCGCGCCCGAGGCCCGAGGCCCCAGGGCUGGCCCUUGUGGGGACUGGCCUCCCCUGCCCUCGGACCUCACUCAUCAGGAUGGUGACCCCGUCUCCAGACACCCUGCUCCUCCCCCACGCGGCUGGGACCCCACCCAGUCCACACCCAGGCCUCCCCUGGCCCCCAGCCCCCCACACCUGGCCUGCCGUUCUUACCACCCCUUCUCCUGCUGUGUGCAUCUGCGCAGUCUUUCCUGACCAGGAGCUGUUUGGCGCCCCAGCUGCGCCCCCAGCCCUCCCCCCCGCCUCCUCCUAAAGGCUGUCUCACCUCCACUUCUGCCUCACCUUUGCCCUCUUUCUUGGGGGGCUCUCCUAGCUGGGGGGCUCACUGAGCACCUGCAGAGGGAAUGAGGAGGCCCUGGAGGGCCAAGCGCACCCCUGACCCUGGCCGUGCAGAGGCCCCUGUGGCUUCCAAGCCAGAAGGGAGGUUUCACCUAGAAAAGAGGAAAGAGCUGAGGACCGAGGCAGACCCAGGGACGGCGAGGCCCCCACGGGGCUGUUCCAGCGGACGUCGGCGUGUGUGGCCCUCCUGACUUGCGGCUGUCCGCUUGGGGCUCUGCCCCCCGUGGCACAGCCGCGUGCGGACGCGGUUCCUACGACAGCUCCGUGCUGCAGCCCCUUCUGCCUCCUGCCCCCAGGGCCCCGGCCUGUACACUCUGACCCAGGAGCCCCUGGCUCCCGAGAAUGGGUCCUUUCUGGCGACUCCUUGCUGGGGACACCGGCCAGCAAUCCAUCCCCUCCUAACAGAGGCAGAAGCCCUGUGGACCCAGGCCGGCGGCAGCGGUGGGGCCAGAAGGCUGUCAGGUGCGGCUUGCUCCAGGUGCCCCGGCCUCCACCCCACACGUCAGGCUCGGAAUCACAUCAGUUCCCCAGUUACAGGGGCUCUGGAGCCCCUCUGCCUCGCUGACUCUGUGGCCAGCAGCCCUCCGGCAGCUUGCUGCCUGGUUGCCUCACGGGGUCUGGAGUGGUCCUGGGGUCCUGCGGAAGGACAAGCUCCAUCUGGCCGCCCCGUUUGCCGGCCAUGAACGGGUUCAGUCAUACAGAGGGAAAAGCUGGGUGGGGACCCUGCUAAAAGGAGAGCAGGAAGUGCAAAGUGAGGGCGGGGCCGCCAGGGGCCUGAUGCUGGCGCAGGGACAGCUUCCUCGUCUGCAGCCUCUGCUUCUAGUCAGAACAGUCACUCCACGAGAGCCCCCUCCUGAUGACAGGUGAGCCUCGUCUCCAUUCGUCCGUGACCGCAUCUGCCCGUCACCCACCAUCCUCCCUCCCGACCACCCACCGGCCUCUUUGUGCCUACACGUAUCCAUCCGGCAGCGUAUUCACACUCCUCUCCAUCCAUCCCCUACCCUCCCGUGCAUCCAUCUGUCCAUCCAUCCAUCCACCCUCCAGUGCAUCUAUCCAUCUAUUCACUCACCCACCCAUGCAUGCAUCUAUCUGUUCAUUCUUCAGUCUUCCUUCCUUCCUUCCAUCCAUCCACUCAUCCAUCCGUCCAU